UACGUAGGGGGCGAGCGUCGUCCGGAUUUACUGGGCGUAAAGCGCGUGUAGGCGGGAGAUUAAGUUGGGUGUGAAAGCCCGGGGCUCAACCCCGGGAUGCCGCCCAAGACUGGUCUCCUUGAGGACGGAAGAGGGGAGUGGAAUUCCUGGUGUAGCGGUGAAAUGCGUAGAGAUCAGGAGGAACACCCGUGGCGAAGGCGGCUCCCUGGUCCGUUUCUGACGCUGAGACGCGAAAGCGCGGGGAGCGAACGGG
rnacentral:rRNA from 1 species